GACGAACGCUGGCGGCGUGCUUAACACAUGCAAGUCGAACGGAAAGGCCCUGCUUUUGUGGGGUGCUCGAGUGGCGAACGGGUGAGUAACACGUGAGUAACCUGCCCUUGACUUUGGGAUAACUUCAGGAAACUGGGGAUAAUACCGGAUAGGAGCUCCUGCUGCAUGGUGGGGGUUGGAAAGUUUGGGCGGUUGGGGAUGGACUCGCGGCUUAUCAGCUUGUUGGUGGGGUAGUGGCUUACCAAGGCAUUGACGGGUAGCCGGCCUGAGAGGGUGACCGGCCACAUGGGGACUGAGAUACGGCCCAGACUCCUACGGGAGGCAGCAGUGGGGAAUAUGGCACAAUGGGCGGAAGCCUGAUGCAGCAACGCCGCGUUCGGGAUGACGGCCAUCGGGUUGUAAACCGCUUUCGCCUGUGACGAAGCGUGAGUGACGGUAAUGGGUAAAGAAGCACCGGCUAACUACGUG
rnacentral:rRNA from 1 species